GCAUUCCGAAGACGGUGGAGACGAAAAGCAACGGGAAGAAAGAGAUAAACAGAAGCGAUGCGCUCGUCUAGGUCGAGCUUGCUUCAGGAGCUCCUGCUCUAUGCAGCGACCGCAGCGCUGAGUUCUCUCGUCCUCUUCGUCGGGUUGCGCCAACUCGACCCCAACCAUUCCGCCAGAAAGAAGGCCCUCGAGCACAAGAAGGAGAUCGCCAAGCGCCUCGGUCGCCCUCUCAUCAACACCAACCCAUACGAGGAUGUAAUAGCUUGUGAUGUUAUAAAUACCGAUCACAUUGAUAUUGAAUUUGAGUCUAUUGGGGGUUUAGAGCAUGUCAAGCAAGCAUUAUUUGAAUUGAUCAUUCUUCCACUUCGUAGACCCCAGUUGUUUUCACAUGGAAAACUUCUUAGCCCACAAAAGGGCGUUCUGUUGUAUGGUCCACCUGGAACAGGAAAGACAAUGCUAGCCAAGGCCUUAGCAAAAGAGUCUGGUGCAGUUUUUAUUAAUGUGAGGAUCUCAAAUUUGAUGAGUAAAUGGUUUGGGGAUGCCCAAAAACUUGUUUCUGCUGUUUUUAGCCUUGCUUAUAAGCUACAACCUGCUAUUAUUUUCAUUGACGAGGUGGAUAGUUUUUUGGGUCAGCGACAGAAUACAGAUCAGGAAGCAUUGGCUAACAUGAAAACUGAGUUCAUGUCCUUGUGGGAUGGCUUCACAACUGACCAGAAUGCUCGUGUAAUGGUUCUUGCUGCUACAAAUCGGCCAUCAGAGUUAGAUGAGGCAAUCCUCAGGCGGUUUACCCAAACUUUUGAAAUUGGCAUGCCUAAUCAAAAUGAGAGGGCCAUCAUACUAAAGGUAAUACUCAAGGGUGAAAAUGUCGAAGAAAACAUUGAUUUCGAGUACCUAGCUGCAUUGUGUCAAGAUUUUAGCGGUUCAGAUUUGCUUGAGUUGUGCAAACAAGCAGCCUAUUUCCCGAUCAGGGAGUUACUCAAUGAUGAGAAGAAUGGAAUGAUAUGCACUGUGAGUAUUUAUCAUUUUUAUCAAAUAAUAUUUUGGCAAGUUCAUUCCUCCAACUUUCCCCUUGAUGCCUAAUAAAUUUAAGCCAAUCUAAUCCAUUCAAGAGCAUAUCUGCAUACUUCAUGAUAGCCAGAUCUACGCCCCCACGGGCUGGAUCAGCUGGUAGGGUGCCUGGACGCUUGCAUCGAAGGCCGUAGGGUCGAGGGUCGUCAGCUGCACACGGGCGUAAAAUCUCGGUCUGCUGUGCUUAAAUUCCACUCGACCCCCAGUCACCCCUCCCGCCCAGCUUAAUCGUGAUUUACCCCCUCUGGACAUCUGUGGGGCCGGACCCGAGGGGCCGCUAAGGUGGCGGUUCCACCUUUUUGCAUGAUAGCCAGAUCUACUAUCGUUGUCUAUUGUUCAUUUUGAUGUUCUAUCUUCUUUAUUCUGUGAAGUCUCGCUCCUGACCUAUGCAUGUUCACUAGACUAGAUCUUCUAUUAAGGCAUUUUUCUAUAAAGUUGGUAUUCGAGUUUUUUCUCUUUGCGAACCUUGAGAGGACUUUGUGGAGACAAUUUAACAUUUUUGUGACAACCUCUGCAUUUCAAGCAGGGUCCGAGACCACUAGAACAGUCAGACUUGGAGAAUGCACUAGUAACAUCUCGGAAGGCGA